GGUGUCCCAUUGGUCGGCGUGGGCUGUGCCGCGCUAGCGGAUCACCUCCACGCGGCGACUUGGCUGCCCAAGUUCUGGCCGCACCUACCGGAGAAGUAUGACGGUACGUCAAACCCGUCGGAAUUCUUGCAGGUCUACGUCACCGCCAUUACGACAGCCGGUGGAAACACUGUCGUAAUGGCGAGUUACUUCCAUGUAGCCUUGACCGGCCCGGCCCGGAUCUGGCUCAUGAACCUGACCCCGGGAUCCGUCUACUCCUGGGAGGAGCUCUGUGCACGGUUCACAGUGAACUUUGCUAGUGCUUAUCAACAGCAUAGCGUGGAGGCUCAUCUCCAUGCCGUAAGGCAAGAACCCGGGGAGACCCUCCAGGCUUUCAUUGCUCGCUUCACCAAGGUACGAGGGACUAUACCUCGUAUCUCCGAUGCCUCCAUUAUCACUGCUUUCCGACAGGGGGUGCGUGAUGAGAAGAUGUUAGAGAAGCUAGCGACGCAUGACGUGGAAACCGUCACCAUGCUCUUCGCUCUGGCCGACAAAUGUGCUAGAGCUGCCGAGGGUCGUGCAUGGCACUUAGCACCACAGACCGGAGUUACCCAGACGGGUGGCUCGGGAGCCGUCACCCAGGGCAGCAACAACAAGAAGAAGAAAAACCGCGGCCACGAGAGGCCGCAGUCUGCUGCUCCGAUCGUCGCAGCUGCGACUGGGGGCCGGAACGAGCGCGGCAAGCACCCACGACCAUAGGGGGCCAACAGUGGGUCAUGCCCUGUGCAUCCCAACAGUCACCACAGCGCCUCGGAAUGCCGCGAGAUCAUCAAGCUCGCGAAGCGCAUCAGCGAGCGGCGCGAGAAGGCUUCCAAGGAUGGCUCGCCGCCUCGUCGCUGACCUAGCAAGGAGAAGGUCGACGAAGGUGACGCGACCACGGGAGAACGGGACCUCGGGUAUCAGUCACCUGAGGGGGUCCUCAAGGACGUUUUCACUGGAGACUCUGACUCUGGUGACGACAACGACCAUCGCAAGAAGCUGUACGUGAUGUACGGCGGGAGCUAAAAGCUCACCUCUCGCAGGAACGUCAAGUCCCUGCGCCGAGAGGUCCUUUCGGCGGUCCCAAGGGUCCCGAAGGCUGCUCCACAUCAGCGGUGGAGGAGCACCACUAUCUCCUUCGGGGCAUCUGACUACCUCGAAAACAUGGCAGGGGCUGGUAUACUACCGCUCAUCAACGCCCCUGUCAUCGCCAACAUGCGGCUGCGGUGUCUUGUACUCAUCAAGCAUGGUUCUUGCCAUGUCCAAUAGAGUUCGAUUCUUCCUCUCCACUACACCAUUUUGUUGUGGAGUGUAGGGAGAAGAGAACUCAUGCUUGAUGCCCUCCUCCUCAAGGAAGCCUUCUAUUUGUGAGUUCUUGAACUUCGUCCCGUUGUCGCUUCUAAUUUUCUUGAUCCUUAAGCCGAACUCAUUUUGAGCCUAUCUCAAGAAUCCCUUUAAGGUCUCUUGGGUAUGAGAUUUUUCCUGCAAAAAGAACACCCAAGUGAAGCGAGAAUAAUCAUCCACAAUAACUAGACAGUACUUACUCCCGUCGAUGCUUAUGUAAGCGAUCGGGCCGAAUAGGUCCAUGUGUAGGAGCUCCAGUGGCCUGUCACUAGUCAUGAUGUUCUUGUGUGGAUGAUGAGUGCCAACUUGCUUCCCGGCUUGGCAUGCGCUACAAAUCCUGUCUUUCUCAAAAUGAACAUUGGUUAGUCCUAAAAUGUGUUCUCCCUUUAGAAGCUUAUGAAGAUUCUUCAUUCCAACAUGGGCUAGUCGGCGGUGCCAGAGCCAACCCAAGUUAGUCUUAGCAAUUAAGCAAGUGUCGAGUUCAGCUCUAUCAAAAUCUACCAAGUAUAGCUGACCCUCUAACACUCACUUAAAUGCUAUUGAAUCAUCACUUCUUCUAAAGACAGUGACACCUACAUCAGUAAAUAGACAGUUGUAGCCCAUUUGACAAAGUUGCGAAACAGAAAGCAAAUUGUAAUCUAAAGAGUCUACAAGAAAAACAUUGGAAAUAGUAUGGUCAGGUGAUAUAGCAAUUUUACCCAAUCCUUUGACCAAACCUUGAUUUCCAUCCCCGAAUGUGAUAGCUCGUUGGGGAUCUUGGUUUUUCUCAUAUGAGGAGAACAUCUUCUUCUCCCCUGUCAUGUGGUUUGUGCACCCGCUGUCGAGUAUCCAACUUGAGCCCCCGGAUGCAUAAACCUACAAAACAAUUUUAGUUCUUGAUUUUAGGUACCCAAACGGUUUUGGGUCCUUUGGCAUUAGAAACAAGAACUUUGGGUACCCAAACACAAGUUUUGGAGCCCUUGUGUUUGCCCCCAACAAACUUGGCAACUAUCUUGCCGGAUUUGUUAGUUAAAACAUAAGAUGCAUCAAAAGUUUUAAAUGAAAUAGCAUGAUCAUUUGAUGCAUUAGGAGUUUUCUUUCUAGGCAACUUGGCACGGGUUGGUUGCCUAGAGCUAGAUGUCUCACCCUUAUACAUAAAAGCAUGAUUAGGGCCAGAGUGAGACUUCCUAGAAUGAAUUUUCUUAAUUUUGCUCUCGGGAUAACCGGCAGGGUACAAAAUGUAACCCUCGUUAUCCUGAGGCAUGGGAGCCUUGCCCUUAACAAGGUUAGACAAGUUUUUAGGAGGGGCAUUAAGUUUGACAUUGUCUCCCCUUUGGAAGCCAAUGCCAUCCUUGAUGCCAGGGCGUCUCCCAUUAUAGAGCAUACUUCUAGCAAAUUUAAACUUUUCAUUUUCUAAGUUAUGCUCGGCAAUUUUAGCAUCUAAUAUUGCUAUAUGAUCAUUUUGUUGUUUAAUUAAAGCCAUGUGAUCAUGAAUAGCAUUGAUAUCAAUAUCUCUACAUCUAGUACAAAUAGAAGUGUGCUCAACGGUAGAUGUAGAGGGUUUGCAAGAUUUUAAUUCCACAACCUUAGCAUGUAGUAUAUCAUUCUCAUUUCUAAGAUUAGAAAUAGUAACAUUGCAAACAUCAAAAUCUUUAGUCUUAGCAAUUAAUUUUUUAUUUUCAGUCCUAAGGCUAGCAAGGGAAUCAUUCAAUUCCUUAAUCUUAGCAAGCAAAUCAUCAUUAUCAUUUCUAAGAUUGGGAAUUGAAGCAUCACAAACAUGAGAAUCAACCUUAGCAAUUAAUCUAGCAUUUUCAUUUCUAAGGUUGUCUAUAGUCUCAUGGCAAGUGCUUAGCUCACUAGACAAUUUUUCACAUUUUUCAACUUGUAGAGCAUAAGCAUUUUUUACCUUAACAUGCUUUUUGUUUUUCUUAAUAAGGAAGUCCUCUUGAGAGUCCAAGAGAUCAUCCUUCUCAUGAAUAGCACUAAUCAAUUCAUUUAAUUUUUCCUUUUGUUGCAUGUUUAGGUCGGCAAAAAGGGUACGCAAAUUAUUUUCCUCAUCACUAGCAUUAUCAUCACUAGAGGAUUCAUAUUUAGUGGAGGAUUUAGAUUUAACCUUCUUCCUUUUGCCAUCCUUUGCCAUGAGGCACUUAUGGCCGACGUUGGGGAAGAGGAGUCCCUUGGUGACGGCGAUGUUGGCGGCGUCCUCGUCGGAGGAGGACUCGGUGGAGCUCUCGUCGGAGUCCCACUCCCGGCAAACAUGGGCAUCACCGCCCUUCUUCUUGUAGUACUUCUUCUUUUCUUUCCUCUUUCCCUUCUUGUCGUCGCCCCUGUCACUGUCACUAGACAUAGGACAUUUUGCAAUAAAAUGAUCGGGCUUACCACAUUUGUAGCACACUUUCUUGGAGCGGGGUUUGUAGUCCUUCCCCUCCGGUGCUUGAGGAUUUGGCGAAAGCUUUUGAUGAUUAAAGCCAUCUCCUUAUUGUCGAGCUUGGAGGCAUCAAUUGGUUGUCUACUCGGUGUAGACUCCUCCUUCUUCUCCUCCGUCGCCUUGAACGCCACCGGUUGAGCUUCGGACGUGGAGGGUUCGUCAAGCUCAUUGAUCUUCUUUGAGCCUUUAAUCAUACAUUCAAAGCUCACAAAAUUCCUGAUAACUUCCUCGGGAGUCAUUAGUGUGUAUCUAGAAUUACCACGAAUUAAUUGAACUUGAGUGGGGUUAAGGAAAAUAAGAGAUCUUAGAAUAACCUUAACCACCUCGUGGUCGUCCCACUUCUUACUCCCGAGGUUGCGCACUUGGUUCACCAAGGUUUUGAGCCGGUUGUACAUAUCUUGUGGCUCUUCCCCUUGGCGAAGACGAAAGCGACCGAGCUCCCCCUUGAUCGUUUCCCGCUUGGUGAUCUUGGUGAGUUCAUCACCCUCGUGUGCGGUCUUGAGAAGGUCCCAAAUUUCCUUUGCAUUCUUCAACCCUUGCACCUUGUUGUAUUCCUCCUUGCUUAGAGAGGCGAGGAGUAUGGUUGUGGCUUGGGAGUUGAAGUGCUCGAUUUGGGCCACUUCGUCCGUAUCAUAGUCUUCAUCCCCUACGGAUGGUACCUGUGCUCCAAACUCAACAACAUUCCAUAUACUUUUGUGGAGUGAGGUUAGAUGAAAUUUCAUUAAAUCACUCCACCUAGCAUAAUCUUCGCCAUCAAAAGUUGGCGGUUUGCCUAAUGGAACGGAAAGUAAUGGAGUAGGUCUAGAUGUACGAGGGUGUAAGGGGAUCUUACUAAACUUCUUGCGCUCUUGGCGCUUAGAAGUUACGGACGGCGCAUCGGAGUCGGAGGUCGAUGUUGAUGAAGUGUCAGUCUCGUAGUAGACCACCUUCCUCAUCCUCUUGUGCUUGUCGCCUUUCCGAUGCGACUUGUGGGAAGAAGAUUUUUCCUUCUUCUCUUUGUGGUGUGAGGAAGAUCUUUUCUCCUUCUGUUUGGAGGAGUCCUUCUUCUUCUCCUUCCUCUUGGUGCGGGACUCUUCCGAUGAAGUGCUCCCUUGGCUUGUAGUGGGCUUGUCGUCGGUCUCCAUCUCCCUCUUGGUGUGAUCUCCCGACAUCACUUCGAGCGCUUAGGCUCUAAUGAAGCACCGGGCUCUGAUACCAAUUGAAAGUCGCCUAGAGGGGGGUGAAUAGGGCGAAACUGAAAUUCUCAAAAAUAAUCACAACUACAAGCCGGGUUAGCAUUAGAAAUAUAAUCGAGUCCGCGAGAGAGGGUGCAAAACAAAUCGCAAGCGAAUAAGAAGUGUGACACGCGGAUUUGUUUUACCGAGGUUCGGUUCUCGCAAACCUACUCCCCGUUGAGGAGGCCACAAAGGCCGGGUCUCUUUCAACCCUUACCCUCUCUCAAACGGUCCCUCGGAUCGAGUGAGCUUUCUCUUCUCAAUCACUUGGAACACAAAGUUCCCACAAGGACCACCACAAGAUUGGUGUCUCUUGCGUCAAUUACAAGUGAGUUUGAUCGCAAUGAAGAAUCAAAGAAAGAAGAAAGCAAUCCAAGCGCAAGAGCUCGAAAGAACACAAGCAAAUCUCUCUCUCUAAUCACUAGGGCGUUGUGUAGAAUUUGGAGAGGAUUUGAUCUCUUUGGUGUGUCUAGAAUUGAAUACUAGAGCUCUUGUAAGUAGUUGAGAAGUAGAAAACUUGGAUACCAUGAAUGGUGGGUGGUUGGGGGUAUUUAUAGCCCCAACCACCAAACUAGCCGUUUGGUGAGGCUGUCUGUUCGAUGGCGCACCAGACAGUCCGGUGCACACCGGACAUGUCCGGUGCGACAGCCACGUCACCAAUGCCGUUGGGUUCCGACCGUUGGAGCUCUGACUUCUGGGCCCGCCUGGAUGUCUGGUGGCGCACCGGACAUGCACUGUAGAUUGUCCGGUGCGCCAGUAUGGGCGUGCCUGUCCUCUGCGCGCGCAGCGCGCGCAUUUAAUGCGUCGCAGGUAGCCGUUGGCGCCGAAAUAGCCGUUGCCCCGCUGUUACACCGGACAGUCCGGUGUACACCGAACAGUCCGGUGAAUUUUAGCGGAGCAGCUGGAAUGAAUUACCGAGGCUGGCGAGUUCCGGAGGCCGCUCUUCCUUGAAGCACCGGACAUGUCCGGUGUACACCGGACAGUCCGGUGUACACCGGACAGUCCGGUGAAUUAUAGCGGAGUCGCCUCUGGAAUUUCCCGAAGGUGACGAGUUUGAAUUCAGAGUCCUUUGGUGCACCGGACAUGUCCGGUGGCACACCGGACAGCCCGGUGCGCCAGACCAGAGGUGCCUUCGGUUGUUCCUUUGCUCUUUUGUCAAACCCAAUACUUGGUCUUUUUAUUGGCUAAGUGUGAACCUUUGGCACCUGUAUAACUUAUACACUAGAGCAAACUAGUUAGUCCAAAGAUUUGUGUUGGUCAAUUCAACCACCAAAAUUAAUUAGGAACUAGGUGUAAGCCUAAUUCCCUUUCAAAAAGAUCAACAUCAAAUUUUAUACAUAUCUAUUUUAAAAUAUUAAAUUUGUUCUAACAGUUCGGAUUAUCACUUUCAUCCCUAAGGUAUUCUAUGUCCUUAAUCUCGUCUUUAUGGCAAGAAAUACUAAGAUUCCUUUAAACUUGGCGUCAUCUAGAAAACACUAAGAAAACUAACACCUGAACCACUCCCUCUGUCCAAAUUAGUUGUAAGAUAUUUUUUUUGUUGCCAGGAUCCUUAAUUUUCUCUGAAAAUCGCUUGGGUAUUGUAUUUUAGGACGAAUGGAGUAUACAAAUAACAUACAAUCAUGUGGCAGUGAGGAGGAAAACUAAAAACUGGCUAGGAAUUAGGACUAGUACGUGUAGUAAUCGUGUCAUGUGUUUCCGAUGCAUAUAGGUUUCAUAAAAUAAAUUUUAUCCAUGUCAUCUGCUGAAAGUUGAAGCGUUCGUCGUUGUACAGAUGAGAGGCAAACAAGUAUAUAUAUAUAGCCGGCAGCCAGGCAAAAGCUAAGCUAGUAACACACGGUAUGUAAUAAUUAAUUAAGGGAGAGCCAUCUCGAAACAUGCAUAUAUAGAAAUUAUUUUUCCUCAGAUCUCGCCGUCAAGCAUACAUGCAUUAUCUCAGACUUCGCAGUGGCGAGCUCGAUCGAUAUAUAUGAUGACUAGCAUCAGUACUAAAAUAGUAUUGUAUCAGGGACACACGUACGGCAUCGACCAGAGCACCAUGCAUGGUCCAUGGAUCAUAUCAUCAUUAUCAUGGCUUCAUGGGAUGGGAAUGGAUCGGAGUACGUGCUUAACCAUGAUCAGUACACACGUAUCUCUCGGAGGGGCGGCGGUAUCCCGGGUGAUGGCCGGGCGAUUAAUUAGUAGCUGUAGUUCUUGACGAACAUUCCCUCCUUGGCCUCGGCGGCCUCGCCGUCGGAGGUGUACUUGCCGAGCUGCGCCAGGGAGUUGGCCUUGGCGCGCAGCAGCAGCGCGUCCUGCGCCGCCUUGACCUUGUCCGGCUGGCCGCCCCAGGUCUUGAGGCAGGUGUUCUGCAGCGCCCGCGCGUAGGAGAAGGACACGUGCCACGGGUUGGGCCCCUGGUUCAUGGCGUUGAGGUUCUGCGUCGCCUCCACCUCCGACUGCCCGCCGGAGAGGAACAUGAUCCCGGGCACGGAGGGGGGGAUCCGGCGGUGGAGGAGCUUGAGGGUGUACGCGGCCACCUGCUCCGGGGUGGCCCUGUCCUUGGCCUCCGCGCCGGGCGUCACCAUGGACGGCUUCAGCAGGAUGCCCUCGAACAUGACGUUGUUCUCCGCCAUGGCGUAGAAGGUUUCGGCCCACACCUUCUGCGCCACCUCGAACGUGCGCUCGAUGCCGUGCUCGCCGUCCAGCAGGAUCUCCGGCUCCACGAUCGGCACAAGCCCGUUGUCCUGCAUGCAUGAAGGUCAUGGCAUGCAGGUUGCAGCCAAUAAUAAUGGCAGGAGUAGAAACCAAAUAAACCAACCAACCUGUGAGAUGGCGGCGUAGCGUGCGAGCCCCCACGCGGCCUCCUUGACGGCGAGCUCGGAGGGGCCGUUAGGGAUGCUGACGACGGUGCGCCACUUGGCGAACCGCGCGCCCUGCUGGUAGUAGGCGGCCUCGCGGGACGCCAGGCCGUCCAGGCCCUGGCACCACGACUCGUUGUUGGAGCCGGCGAGCGGGACAAGGCCCUUGUCCACCUUGAUCCCCGGCACGAUGCCCUGCUCCGCCAGGAUGUCCACGAUCUUGCGGCCGUCGACGGCGGACUGGUACAGCGUCUCCUCGAAGAGGAUGGCGCCGGAGAUGUACUGGCCCAGGCCCGGCGCCGUGACCAGCAGCGUGCGGUACGCCUGCCGGUUGGCCUCCGUGUUCUCCAGCCCGAUGGACGCCAGCCGCUUCCCGCACGUCGCGUUCGACUCGUCCAUCGCCAGGAUGCCCCGCCCCGGCGACGCGAUCGUUUUCUGUCCACACAUACGUACGUACGUACGUAUACACAGCAUGCACACACGCACACUUGAGUUCGACAGCCGGAGGAGGAAGAUGAAGAGAUUAACCUAAGUACGAUCGAUGGAGCGUAUAGUACGUACCGCGGUCUUCACGAGCUCAUCGGCGUAGGCGGAGGCGCGGACGACCAUGGAGACGGUGGGCGGCCUGGGCGCGGCGGCCUGCCUGGUGGCGCCCCAUUCGGACUUCUUGGGAAGGAAGGAGGACUUGAGCACGGUGGCAGAGGCCAUCGAUCUCUUGUUGCUGUCACUCCUAAACUUGUGAAGAAGACUUGUGGUAUGGCGGUAUCCUAGCUAGCGAGGAUCGGAGCUCAGCUAGCUCGAUCACUCACUCACACUCAGGCUACCAGCCAGUGACACCGCAAGUUUCAGGUUCACUUGACACUCGUCUUCUUCUCCUUCCUUACCUUAGAGGGUGAGAGCAUCUCCCAUAUAUAAACAAGGAGGAGGCCUGCAGCACACCUGGCUAACCACGGCGCGCAACAGCACAAGGGGAUAUGAGUUGUGAGGCCGAGGUUGCCCUCUGGAUUUCAGUGGCUGACGCGUCUUGCUGCCUGCCUCUCACUGCCUAGCUUGGCUCCAAUCCAAUCCUGUUGCUGUCACCAAUCACAAGCUUUUCUUUUGUCCUGAUCUUCUUCAUGCUGGGGCUGCUGGCACACCACCAUCUUUUCUGUAAUUUCCGUCCUGUUUCACCUCUGCGACUCUGCAUUGUAUGGUUAAAACAAAAAGGGUUAAAGCUGCAACCAACGACGGGCCCUGCUGCGUGCAGCUCUGCCAUGGGGAGUUGCUCGCCUAGAAAAGGGGUCGCCGGGACGGACAGGGACCUGCAGCAGGUUCUGUGGACGCACCUCGCCAGCCACUGCCGCCCGCCUGCGGUGGGUGAUCUCUGAUCUCCCAUCCGUGGAUCGGUUCGCACGCUCGGCUUGGCAACGGCGGCCGUAGUUUUUUUUUCUUUUCCUCGGCGGGUCUCUUGGGGGCUUGUGGCGAUGGCAACGCCCCUGCUAGCUGCUGCGACUUGUUUGUUUGCCGUGUGCUUCGUCAGGUCUCAGGCACCGACACCAGGCUGCUGCUCUGGCUCAACUAAAGAACAAGAACGGGCAUUCAGGACAGUCCAAGAAACCAUGUUGCAGUCCUGCCUGCAGAUCAUCUUGUGCCACGACAAAUGAUACAGUGACCUUCGUAUACGGAAGAGGACGAACUGUUCCUAUCUUUCAUUUGGUUUACAUUACAUCCAAGAAAUCACAUACAACUGUGCUGUCAACAAGACUACAAGAGUAAAUAUCUCUGCAGACUGCAGGAACACCUGGAGCACAUCACUGGUUUAAGCACGCCAUCAAUGCAUCUUCUGAUGUUCUUUCACCACAUCUAAGCAAUGCGAAACAUACACAGCAAAGGCCGAAGACAUACACGUACUUUGUCACGUGAACGCAAGCAGGCAAGGAUGAAGACAAAUGAUGAGUUUUGACAAAUUAUCAAUCAGAAAUAGGUUCAUAGGAACAUGUUUACAAAUCUGUCGAUGCUUCAAACACAGACCUAGGUGCCUACCUUAUGGGGCACCAGCACAUUUUUACACUGACAACAAAAAUCAGUAAUGGUACAAACCUGAAAUCAUCAACAACAAUCGUGACAAGACAACGGGACUCCGUAGUAGCAUAACAUGUCAGCUUCAGCACCUAGGAUUUGUCACUGGGUGCCACAGAAUGCUCUUUCCACUAAAUACUAGUACCACUGAAAAAAAAAUAACCGCUUUUUUCGUGGCACUGGUACUGGGAUCAAGUCUAAUCAAUCCGUGAAAGCUGACGAUGCACGCUAAACUUCAGAUGGGAGCAUCUGGAAAGCAGAAUCCUCUGGUAAAAAAACUAGGUCUCGGCAGGCUUCAAGAGUUCACCAAGAUUCACAUGCAAGCUGUUCCUCAUGGUUCGCCUCCCUGCUCCACCAGUGUUGCCCUUUCUCAUCAUGGCAGCAAAUUCACUAUAAUCAAUCUGUCCAUCCUGGAAAACCAUGUACAAUUUGACAGCACCCAAUUAGAUGAAGAUGAGACAACAGAGAAGUACAGAGAUGGAGACGAAAAAACAAGAAGGAUGAAGAUGACUAACAUUGUUCUGGUCCACAUCUUUGAUCAUGUCCUCAAGAUGAACAUCAGAAAGGCCGAACUGUCCGCAUGCUUGCGAGAGCUCAUCGAUUGUUAUGAAGCCACUCCCAUCCUUAUCGAAGAAUGCGAAUGCCGACACCAAGCUUUCCUCCCUCUCCAGUUUAUUCAUGUGCAACGUAGCCGCUAAGAACUCUCCAUAGUCAAUGGUUCCGCUGUUGUCAAUAUCAGCCUGAUACAGAGGCCAAGCCCAGAUUACAAUCUCAACGAUUUGCAGAAUCGAAGGAUGAUCCAGUACCAGUACAACUAAUUCAUAUGGACAAUACAACACUUGAUAUAAUAGUAGCACUUACUGCAUCCAUUAAAGCCUGGAUUUCAGGUUCCAUCAGAUCUGAGCCCACCUUUUUCAGACCAUCCUUCAGUUCAUCAUAAGUUAUCGUCCCACUGUUGUCAGUAUCGAUCAUUUUGAACAUCUCCUUUAAACCACCAAUCUCCUCCUCAGAUAGACUUUCAGCAAUCACCUGCACGAAUCAAAGACAUGCCUCUGAAAAAAUCAAUUUCCAUGGUCAAUGCAUGUUGCACACAUGCCAUCGUUUCUUAUCAUUUAUCAAGCAUUUUUGCAACCUCAUGACAUGCUUUUUAUAAUUUUAUGUGAGAAACUAGUCAACCUAGAGUUCAAGCAAACAACAUUGCAUAACCCAUAGUGGAAACCUGAGCAUUACUUGCUCUAGUAUUGUGUCAGACAAUUAAGCAAACGCAAAAAAAAAAAAUCUCUUCUCUUCAAAGAAAGAAGAAAAGGAUAACACAUCCUUCUGAACCUCUAUCUUCAAAGCAUUCUUCAAACCACUGUUUUGAAAGUUACCAUUGCUACUAUUUAUGGCAUCCUGCUGCUACCGUUAGGUGGUCUUCAAUCAUGGAUUCAAUAGCUUUUGCUGAUCAGUAGUCAUAGAGUACUGUGGCUGGCAUCCAGAUUCCAGAUCUGGCCGUAGUGCAUCUGAAGGGAUUGGAGACAGCAGGGUUGGGUAUGGGAGGACUGUUCUUUUGGAAAGAAAAAGGUUUCUUGAAUUAUGAAAAGGAGGUGUAGGUGACAUGCAGGAUAGCCUUUUGUUAAUAGUAGGACAUGGAUGAUUAGUGUGGCAGAACUGCCAUACAAAACAACAAUAUGAGGUUAAAUAGCCUGGCUUCCAAAGUUUUGGUUUUUAAGCAGAUGUGUAUAAACUGGCUUCUCUGGAAAAAUAAUGGGGAGUAAUAUGAAUAUAGAAUGAAAGUUAAGUUCACAAAAAACCUAGUUGACAUGGAAAACAAGGGGAAAGAGAAAGGAGAAGUUACAUACAAAGUUAAUACAAGACUAGUAAUAGUUUGUAUGGGAAUGGCAUAAUAGAAAUGAAGCAUAUACCUAGCAUCGCCACUAAAAAAAAUUAAAUCUCAUUUGCAACAUAAUUACGUAUGAAAAAUGGGAUAAAAAGAUCAUACCCUCAAUGCCAUCUUCUUGAGCUUGUUCAUUGCAGAAAAGUUUUUCAGCCUUGACAAAACAGCAGAAUCAAUAGGCUUAUCAGGUGCAACAGCAUCAUCAACAAUCCAUGGAUGGCCUGGCAUAAUGAGUGUCAAUAAAAAUGGUACAGGAGCGCAAGCAUGAAUAUGAAAUCUAAGACAGAGAGGGAGGGAAGCCAUGAAGGCAGAAAACUUACAUAGAACCUCAUGAGCAGUCAAUCUCUUCCUAGGAUCCCGGAUUAGCAUCUUACGGACUAGAUCCUUAGCACUAUCAGAGAUACUUGGCCAUGGUUCAGAUUCCAAAUCAAGUUUUCCUCGCAAAAUCUGCCUGAAUAUCCCUGCUUCACUCUCUGAAGGGAGGGGGGGAAAUAGGGAAAAAGGUACACAUGUAAACAUGCCAACAAUGGUAAACAGAAAUGGAUCUCAACCUAGCAAUUCAUUGGGUGGAAUAAUAAACAGCUUACCUGCCCAGAAUGGGGGUACACCACAUAGCAAAAUGUACAAAAUCACUCCAGCACUCCAUACAUCAGCUUCUGGGCCAUAACAUUUUUGAAGCACCUCAGGGGCAACAUAAUAGGGGCUCCCAACAACGUCAGCAAAUUUAUCACCUAGAGAAUGGAAAGGUAUAGCUUUCAGUGUGUGUUUUAUUAAUAACUUAAGCAAGCAGAAGAGAACACUGAAUCGACUGAAGACUUCAUUAAUCACUAUGCAGUACGUUAAUAACAGCUGACAUUUAACACAAAGUGUAUUAAAUGUGUACAAGAAAAGGCAGUUCUUGCCAUCAACCUUGAAAACCUUAUUACUAUUAACGAGGAUUAAGUAAUAGAUGUUAUUAUAGUUUCAAUGUCUGUGAUAGAUUUUUUUUAUGCUAGCAAAAUGAGAUGCUAUGCAAAUGACACUAAUACUUAAUAGGUUUUCUGAUGUACCAAAACAACUAAUAAGAACACUACCCCUUACCAAACGCAAUGCUAGCCGUUUGCCCCACAUAUCACUACGGCAUGAGGGACCACAUCCGCAUAGCAACAUUAUACAGCACAAAAAUUCAAACCAAACAGCACAAACAUCGCAUAGUUACGCACCAGGCUUGUAGAACACGGAGAGCCCAAAAUCAGUGGUCUUGAGCGGGGCAUCCUCGGCAGUGCUCGCGAAGAGGAAAUUCUCCGGCUUGAGGUCUCGAUGCAUGACGCCGAGCGAGUGGCACCCCUGCACCACCCCAACAAUCGUCCUGGUGAGCUGCGCGGCGGCGCGCUCUGUGUAGUGGCCCUUGGCGACGAUGCGGUCGAAGAGCUCGCCGCCGGCGCAGAGCUCCAUGACGAGGUGGACGAAGAGCGCGUCCUCGUAGGCGCCGCGGAUGCGGACGACGUUGGGGUGCUCGGAGAGAUGGUGCAUGAUCUGGAUCUCGCGCCACACGUCCUCGUAGUCCUCGCGGCACAGCAGCUUGCGCUUGGGGAUGGACUUGCACGCGUACUCGGCGCCGUCCGCCUUGCCCACGCACUGGUACGUGGUGCCGAACUGCCCCUGCCCCAGCUUCUUCCCGAUGCGGUAGUGGUCGCGCACGUUGUCCGUCUUAUGCGGCAGCACCGACGCCGGCCGCCCAGCCGACGCCGCCGUCACCGGCGGCGGCAGCCGCGCGUGCGCAUUGGCGCCGCCCGCCUUCCCCCUGCCCGAACCUUGCGGGUCCGGCUGCAUUGCCUUCGGCGGCGGUCCCUCACCGGAUCAAGAACCGUAACCGAACGGGCGUCCUGCCUUUCUUCGGCAAAACGUGGCCAGGCUCGACAACCAAUCAGAAAUGGAAACCUUUUACAACUCCGGGGGCGGUUCUAUGUUACUUUCCGGAUGAAUUUACACCGAUUGAAACCGAACAACUGAAAAGAUCGGAUCUCAGCGCGGGGAACCCUCGCCAAUGGGGAAUCUGGGAAAUGGCUGCCGAAUUGGGCGCGACAAAGGAGCUUUAGCGGAGGUUUAAAUAGGCCUACGCGUGCCGAGGAACGGAGAAGAGAACCAACGGCAAGGCGAAAACACUAAGCAAUGGGGUUGCUCUGUUUUUCUGUUCCCUUUUGGAUUGAUUGAUCGAUUCUUGUGGCGAUUUAAAAAGAGGUCACAUGCGAAGAUUGGAUUUUUCCUCCAUGCGAGGAUGGAAGUCUCAUCGGCCAGGUUUGGUGGUUGCUUGGGGCUUGGAUUGGGUCUGCAAAUGGGAACAUCGCUAGGGCAUGUCGGUGGUUAUCGUCUUCGCCUCCUUGGCGAGAGGCGGAGAGCGGGAAGGGGAAGAAGACAGGACACAGGAGGAACCAAGGAAGACAACGUGGUCGGAAACUUCCCUGCUCUUUCUCUUUCCAAUAAUUUUCAAUAAAAAUUCCGUCAAUAAUCCAAACUAGCCCUAAAUAUUAUGUUUAGAAAGCCGGUAAACAGAUAUUGAGAGUAAAAAAAACCUUUACUUUCCAAUUGUCCCCUGUUGUUAGGUUGCUAACCCGUAUUAAAUAAUAUUAGAUCACUUUUUUCAAAUGAGUGAGAACAUAAACAAAUCCUUUCCGGUGUAGAUGUACACUUGAAAAUCAUGAUGCAACAAAGCAACUCGUAGAAGUACACAGGGAUCCAAACAAAAAAAAAUAUUUGUAACCUCUUCUAGCUUAGGUUAGAACAGCGAGAGAUUGAGGUUAGGUGGCUGUUCUUUUUUUUAAUUUAUUCUAAUGAUAAAAAAGGCACGAAAUAAAGAGUGGCGUGCAGGUUGUGUCGACGAUAAAAUUGGCGGGCGGAUAGAUUUAGAGACUCUCAUCUGUUGUUCUAUUUUAGGAGAAAAUAUGUUUAGAUAGAAACUUUGUAAACAAAUAUGGUUUAAAAAAUAAAAUAUAGUUUAACGUCAUCAGUUAUCCAUUACGUUACAACUAUGUGAACGAUAUCUAAGAUAAAAUGGCUUAGGAAUGGCUUUAUAGUUCUUUAUUAUCCCUUUAAUCUAAGUCUUUAUAAAGACUAACUUUAAAACUAUUCAUCCAUUUGCCUCACUGUUUAAUUAGGAUAUUAGUGUUCUUACUCUUGCUUUAAUACUAAUCAUGAUUUUACUCUUGUUUUUUUAUUUUACCAUGAUUUUUUAUAAUUUGUAGCACUGUUUGCCCUAGUUUCACAACCCAAUUAGCUAAAAGCAAAUCUCCAUUACUUAUUAAGGGCCUGUUUGUUUACCCCCCAGAUUAUAUAAUCUAGAUUAAAUAAUCCUAAGAGGCAAACAAACAGUUCAGUUUAUUUGCCCAGAUUAUAUAAUCUAACCCCUUGGAUUAUGAUAAUCCAUAAGCAAGUGAGGAGGUGCUUAUUUCAGAUUAUUUUUUUCCCACUUCCCCACUACCCUUUCAAGUUUCCUAGAAAUUACUCACCAUUGCCGUUAUAAUCCACCGAAUCGGUUUUGCGCCUAGUACUAGUCAAUUUGGGGAUGAAGAAGGUGACAUGAAUGCCUUCCGUGAUAAUAUUGCUAAUGCAAUAUUUGCCAAUUUCAAUUGAAUUUUUUUUCAUACAUGAGUUUCAACCUAGUACAAAUAUAGAGGGCAUUCUUGUCUUCCUCAUACAAAAGAAUCAUAUUAACAACUCAAAUAAUCUAGGUAAACAAACAGGACUACUCAGAUUAUAUAAUCCGGAUUAUAUAAUCCAGAUUAUAUAAUCCGGAUUAUAUAAUCCAGAUUAUAUAAUCCUCCAAAAAUAAUCCAGAUUAUAUAAUCCAUGGGGGUAAACAAACAGGCCCUAAGACAGUAAGGGGUAGGCUGACAUUUUGUGUUCUGUCAUUCUCAUUCCCUCGUCUUUCUCAUCCCUCCUGUUUUGUCAUUCCCUCCUCCCGCACUGUUUUUCUUAUUCCCCAUCCCCGCAAAGCUCAUUCUCAUUCCCACGUGCAUCACAUGCCUAGCUAAAAUUAAAUUAAAAAAACAUAAAUGUGGCCCCAAUGGGAUUCGAACGUGUGACCCCUCAAGCAAAUAUGCUUGUAGCUACCACUACACCACAUGUGUAUUUAUGUCAAUAUAUAUUACAGUAAAAUAUCUACUACAUCUCUCCCAAAGCCUACCUGCUACCCUUGCAAAAUGUGUAGUAGUAGAUAAUUAUCAACGAGAUUCCUGAAUUAUAUUUUUGUAUGGAGGGAGUAGUAUUUAAAAAAGAGCCUUGCAUGCAAUUCCUUUUAUUUGAAUAUUGUUUUCAACUUAAAUUCCUUUUUUAUAUGUAUGACAUUUAUUCUUCGUAAUAUAUUUUCCAUGGAUCUGACUUGUGAGUCAUUUUCAUAAACCAACGCCAAAGAUGAAUCCAUUUUUCUUACUUGGAAACCCCGAACAAACAUCACUAGCAGGAGGCGCUCGCGUUGGCGUCGCUCAUCGACGACGAGAAGAAGCUUGGCGACUGCCAGUUCGACCUCUGGAAGCAGUCCUACGUGGUCGCAUGCGCCGCUGUGUUCGGCAAGCUCUGGCGCAACUGCUGCUUGGACGUGGUCCAGAGCGGCUGCACCGCGUUGUCCAUCUUCAAACAGGGGGACCUCAUGGUCGUCGCCAAUGCCCGCGACUCUCGGGUUGUUCUGGGCACCACAUCCGACGACAGCGCCAUCACGUCGUCCAACUCAUCAUCCACCCGAAGCUCAACCUGCCACGUAAGUCGUUACUGACCGGCCAUGAAUUCUUGUGCGCUGGAACGAUGACUAUUGCUGACGUUAUGUGAGUGUCCUCGAACAAGAUGUGAAAGGGAAAUAGGGUCAAACUUUUUCCUGAUUGAUUUUGGUGGUUGAAUUGCCCAACACAAAUAAUUGGACUAACUAGUUUGCGCUAGAUUAUAAGUUCUACAGGUACAAAAUGUUCAACACAAACCAAUAAAAAAGUCCAAGAAAGGGUUCAAAAGAAAGGAGCAAAAGAAAACCGAAUGCUGCCCUGGUCUGGCGCACCGGACUGUCUGGUGUGCCACCGGACAGUGUCCGGUGCACCAGGGAGAUCAACUCCGAACUUGCCACCUUCGGGUUUCUGGAAAUGUCACUCCGCUAUAAUUCACCGAACUGUCCCGUGUAGCACCAAACUGUCCGGUGUGCCAUGCGGAGCAACGGCUACAGCGCCGACGGUCGACUGUAAAAGUGUACAGUAACAGUGAACAGUGCGGACUGCGCGCACAGAAGUCAGAGCAGCGCCAGAAGGCGCACCGGACAGUGAACAGUGACUGUCUGAUGCACCACCGGACUGUCCGGUGGCCCCACUUGUCAGAGCUCCAACGGUCGAACCCUAACAGUUGGGUGACGUGGCUGGCGCACCGGACAGUGUCCAGUGGCGCACCAGACUGUCUGGUGCGCUCGUCGACAGACAGCCUCCCUAACGGCCAUUUUGGUGGUUGGGGCUAUAAAUACCCCCCAACCACCACACUUCAAGGCAUCCAAGUUUUCAGCCAACAUAUUCAAUACAAGAGCUAGUACAUUCAAUAUAAGACACAAUUAGAUUGAAUCAAAGCCUCUCCAAGUCCCAAUUCCAAUCAAAGCAAUUAGUGACUAGAAGAGAGAGUUUUGGCCGUGUUCUUUGAGCUCUUGCGCUUGGAUCGCUUUUCUUCUUCUCCAUUUCUUGUUCGCGAGUCAUUUGUAAUCAAGGCAAGAGACACCAAUUCUGUGGUGGUCCUUGUGGGGACUAAGUGUCCCAUUUGAUUGAGGAGAAAAGCUCACUCGGUCUAAGUGACCGUUUGAGAGAGGGAAAGGGUUGAAAGAGACCCGGUCUUUGUGACCACCUCAACGGGGAGUAGGUUUGCAAGAACCGAACCUUGGUAAAACAAAUCACCUUGUCAUCCGCUUUCAUUUGCUUAUGACUUGUUUUCGCCCUCUCUUUCGGACUCGAUUAUAUUUCUAACGCUAACUCCGGCUUGUAGUUGUGCUUAAAGUUUAUAAAUUUCAGAUUUGCCUAUUCACCCCCCCCCCCUCUAGGUGACUUUCAAUUGGUAUCAGAGCCCGAUACUUCAUUAGAGCCUAACCGCUCCAAGUGAUGUCGGGAGCUCACGCCAAGAAGGAGAUGGUGACCGGCGAGAAGCCCGCUACAAGCCACGGGAAAGCUCCAUCGGGAGAGUCCAUCAACAAGUUGAAGGGAUCCCCUUCACACAACAAGCCACAACGAAGCGGCGAAAAGAAAAAGAAGAUGAAGAAAGUGGUCUACUAUGAGAUCGACUCUUCGUCGCCAUCCACCUCCGGCUCUGACACGCCGUCCGUCACUUCCAAGCGCCAUGAGCGCAAGAAGUUUAGUAAGAUCCCCCUACGCUACCCUCGCAUUUCUAAGCACACUCCUUUACUUUCCGUUCCAUUAGGCAAACCACCAGUUUUUUAUGGUGAAGAUUAUAGUAGGUGGAGUGAUAUGACGAAAUAUCACCUAACCUCACUCCACACAAGCAUAUGGGACGUUGUUGAAGUUGGAGCACAGGUACCAUCCGUAGGGGAUGAAGAUUAUGAUGAGGACGAAGUCACCCAAAUCCGGCACUUCAAUUCCCUAGCAACUACUAUACUCCUCACCUCUAUAAGUCGAGAGGAGUAUAAUAAGGUACAAGGGUUGAAGAGUGCCAAAGAGGUUUGGGACGUACUAAAGACCACGCACGAAGGAGACGAGGUGACCAAGAUCACCAAAAGGGAAACGAUCGAGGGGGAGCUCAGUCGGUUCAUGCUCAAUCAAGGAGAGGAGCCACAAGCUAUGUAUAACCAGCUCAAGAUCUUGGUCAACCAAGUGCGCAACCUCGGGAGCACAAAAUGGGAUGACCAUGAAAUGGUCAAGGUUAUUCUUAGAUCACUCGUUUUUCUUAAUCCUACUCAAGUACAAUUAAUUCGUGGUGAUUCUAGAUAUAAACUAAUGUCUCCCGAGGAAGUAAUAGGAAAGUUUGUGAGAUUUGAAUUGAUGAUCAAAGGCUCCAAACAAAUCAUCGAGCGAGGCGCCACCUCCACACCUGAGGUGCAACCCGUUGCAUUCAAAGCAACGGAGGAGAAGAAAGAAGAGUCUACGCCAAGUAGGCUCCCUAUCGAUGCCUCCAAGCUCGACAACAAGGAGAUGGCGCUCAUCAUCAAGAGCUUCCUCCAAAUCCUCAAGCAAAGGAGGG
rnacentral:lncRNA from 1 species